UACAGAGGAUGCAAGCGUUAUCCGGAAUGAUUGGGCGUAAAGCGUGCGUAAGCGGUUCUCCAAGUCCGUUGUGAAAGCCCCGGGCUCAACCUGGGAAUGGCAGUGGAAACUAGGGGACUGGAAUCUGGCAGAGGGGGGUGGAAUGCCGCGUGUAGCAGUGAAAUGCGUAGAGAUGCGGCGGAACACCGAUGGCGAAGGCAGCCCCCUGGGCUGAGAUUGACGCUCAGGCACGAAAGCGUGGGGAGCAAACAGG
rnacentral:rRNA from 1 species